rnacentral:lncRNA from 1 species
UGGCUUUGUGUAAUCAGUAUUUAUGUUAGUAGCAUUGUAUAUGUGUUAUACUAGUUUUCUAUACCUACAUCAAUAGCUUUUUAUUACUAAUCCAGUAACUUUUGUACAUGUGUUAUAGUAGUUUUCUAUACCUAUAUCAGUAGCUUUUUAUUAAUAGUCCAAUAGCUUUGUACAUGUUUUAUAGUAGCUUUCCGUACCUAUGGCAGUGGCUACUGGUCUAGUAGCUUUGUACAAUUCUUCCCCUUUGCAUUUGUAGUGGUAGAUUUCGAAACUCAUGUGAAUUUGGAUAUUGAAGUCUCCAUUGGCCAAGAGAUCAUUCGGUUAACCAAGAAAUGUGGAAAUGCAGUCUCAUGCUGAAGAUGGCAAAAUUAUGUCUAUGCGAUUAGGGUGUCACCAUUGAAAAAUGACAAUAGCAUUAUAACAUUGACAGUAGUUUUAUACAACUAUUGUAAUAGAUUUUCAUAACUAUAUUAGUGGCUUUUUACAACUAUGGAAG